CAUACCUUUCUCGGCCUUUUGGCUAAGAUCAAGUGUAGUAUCUGUUCUUAUCAGUUUAAUAUCUGAUAUGUGAGUCAUCGACUCACACGAUAUUAACUCUAUUUUUUUAGGGGGAAGGUUCACCACGAUAGCUUGCUAUCGGGACCUUCAAGAGUCGCCUUGGUGUUGCAUUAUUGCCUAGGCCUGGCUCACCCCAC
rnacentral:snRNA from 1 species